AAUAUUGGACAAUGGGGGCAACCCUGAUCCAGCCAUUCCGCGUGUGUGAUGAAGGCCUUCGGGUUGUAAAGCACUUUUUGCAGGGAAGAAAUGGCUCGGGCUAAUAUCUUGCUUCGAUGACGGUAUCGGCAGAAUACGCACCGGCUAACUACGUGCCAGCAGCCGCGGUAAUACGUAGGGUGCAACCGUUAAUAGGAAUUCAUGGGCGUAAAGCGUGCGCAGGCGGUUAGGAAAAAAAGAGAUGAAAACGCAGGGGUCAACCUUGGAACUGCAUUUUUAACUCCCGGACUAGAGUAUGUCAGAGGGGGGUGGAAUUCCACGUGUGGCAGUGAAAUGCGUAGAGAUGUGGAGGGACACCGAUGGCGAAGGCAGCACCCUGGGAUAAUACUGACGCUCAGGCGCGAAAGCGUGGGUAGCAAACA
rnacentral:rRNA from 1 species